GCGUGGCCCAAGGGUAAGGCAACGGGUUUUGGUCCCGUUACUCGGAGGUUCGAAUCCUUCCGUCCCAGA
rnacentral:tRNA from 1 species